GCCUUCUUAGCUCAGUGGUAGAGCGCGUCACUCGUAUUUCCCCUUCUAAAAUUGGUUCUACUAUGACGAGGUCGCUUGUUCGAUCCAGGCAGGAGGCA